rnacentral:rRNA from 1 species
AGUGAACGCUGGCGGUAGGCCUAACACAUGCAAGUCGAACGGCAGCACAGUAAGAGCUUGCUCUUACGGGUGGCGAGUGGCGGACGGGUGAGGAAUACAUCGGAAUCUACUUUUUCGUGGGGGCUAACGUAGGGACACUUACGCCAAUACCGCAUACGGCCUACGGGUGGAAGCAGGGGAUCUUCGGACCUUGCGCGAUCCAAUGAGCCGAUGUCGGAUUAGCUAGUUGGCGGGGUAAAGGCCCACCAAGGCGACGAUCCGUAGCUGGGCUGAGAGGAUGAGCAGGCACACUGGAACUGGGGCACGGUCCAGACUCCUACGGGAGGCAGCAGGGGGGAAUAUUGGACAAUGGGCGGAAGCCUGAUCCAGCCAUACCGCGUGGGUGAAGAAGGCCUUUGGGUUGUUAAGCCCUUUUGUUGGGAAAGAAAAGCAGCAGGUUAAUUCCCCGCUGUUCUGACGGUACCCAAAGAAUAAGCACCGGCUAACUUCGUG